ACAAAACAGGCAAGGCAAAUAGGUUUCUUUCCUGGAGCUUGGAUACACUCUUAUCCUGCCCUUGGUCAGCAGAACUCCAGGCUCGCUGGCCUUUGGACUCUAGGACUUACACCAGCAACCCCCACUCCUACCCCAGGUUUUCAGGCCCUGGAACUUGGCCUGAACAACACUACUGGCAUUCCAGGAUCCCCAGCAUGUAGAUGGCUGUCACAGGACUUCUCAGCCUCAGUAAUCAGACACAGAUUGCUGCAGACAUCAUGGGUGAUCAUGGAAGACAAGUUCGCCUCCCUGUUUGGCUUUUGAUCACGAAAUUUGGAAAUGAGACAGAGAAAUACUGGACAAUCUGUGGAGACUCGCUUGAACGAGAACUAUGAAGCCAAAAGAGGUCGGAUGGGCACCUUCCACCCUGUGCAAACAGAGAAAGCCACAGGAGCAAAAGCAGCACGUGUGCGGGAAGACGGAGCACCGAGACCAGGAGACCCCGAGGAAAGAGGAGGGCGGCAGAGUGGCUGCCUCUGUUCUGAGAAGGGUCUGACUCCUGCUUCCCUUCCUUUCAGAAGCCAAAAUUCUUCACUCUCCUGCAUUCCAUGAUUGUAACUCUAAAGAUGUCAGAGGCAUGUUCUGUAUUGAUCUCUGUGAUGACGACCUCAGAGUCCAGAAACCAAAAGCAGCUUGGAUCUCAGGCAAGGGGAGGCUGUGGUACGCAUCAAGACAGCAUACCUUCUGCAAGAGAUUACUUGCAGAGAAAAAUAAAAGAACAUUUAAGGCCCCUGAGAAGAAACUGUAGUGAGACUCUUUGAGAAAUUGAGACAUUUAAAAAUAGCCAUGUGUAUACAGGAAUGGAAAAAAAGGAUGCACACAAGACCAGGAGAGGCAUAUACCAAGAAAAGGCCUAAGAACUUAAGCCAUCACAUCCUGCUGAUUAGUGAAGGUCUUCCCUUGCAUGGAGGCAGCUUACAAAGACUUGAAGAGGUGGUUGUUUUUUCAAAUGCCAAAUUUUCAACAUAAUGUCACUAGGCAUACAAAGAAACAGUAAAAUAUGCCCCAUUCAAAGGAAAAAAAAAAUCUCCAUAAGAUUUUCCGGAAGAAACAUAGACUUAAAACUUACCUGAAAAGACUUUAUAAAAACUGCCUUACAUAUGCUCAGAGAGCUAAAGAAAAACAUAAGAAAUAAUAAAAAGUAAUCAUGAAAACAAUAUAUGAAUAAAAUUAGACUAUGAAAAAAGGGAUGAAAUAAUAGAAAAAGAAUAAGAAAACAACCAAAAACAAAUUCUAGAGCUGAAAAAUACAUCAGAUUUGAACAAGCAGAAAAAACAAUCAGUGAACUUGAAGACAUAUCAUUUGAAAUUACUGAGUCUGAAGAUUAAAGAAAGAAGAAAUGGGAAUAAAGCCUAAGGGACUUAAGAAACACCACAAAGUAGACCAAUAUAUGCAUUAUGAGAGUUCCGGGAAAAGAAAUAGAGAGAAAGGAAAAGAGUUUAUUUGAAUAUGUAACUACUGGAAAUGUUCCAAAGUUGAAGAAAGAAAUGGACAUAUACAUAUAAGAAGCUCAAUGAACUUUAAGUAGGAUAAACCCAAGGAUACCCACAGUGAGAUACAUUAUAAAAAAAUGUCAAAGACCAAAGAGAAAUUGAGAAUCUUGAAAGUAGCAAGAAACUAAUUUAUCAUUUACAAAAGAUUCUCAACAAGAUCAUCAUUGAAUUUCUCAGCAGAAAUCUUGCCUCCCAGAAGGCGGUGGAUUUUAUACUUAAUGUGCUAAAAGGAAAAAGCAAAAGCAAAAUCAAACAAACAAACAAAUCUGUCACCCAAUAAAUCCAUAUCCAGCAAAACUGUCUUUCAAAAAUAAGAGAGAAGUUAAGACAUCCCCAUAUAAACAAAAGCUGAGGGAAUUCAUUACCACUAGACCUGCACUUCAAGAAAUAUGAAAGAGAGUCCUUCAAGUUGAAACAAAAGAAAGCUGGAAAGUAAUUUAAAUUUGUAUGAAAAUAUAAAGUUCUCUGGUAAAUAUAAUAUAUGGACACCUACCAAAAAACCUGUAUUAUUGUCAUUUUAGUUUAUAACUCCAAUUUUAUUCUUUCAUAGGAUUUAAAAUAUAAAACUAUACAUAAUAAUAAAUCUAUGUUCAUGGGUACACAAUGUAUAAACCAAUAAUUUGUGACAUCAGUAACAUAUAGGGGGAUCCAAGCUGUCCAGGAGUAGAGUUUUUGUAUGUAAUUUAAGUUGUUAUCAAUUUAAAAUAGUUUUUCUAACCUUAGGAUAUUGUAUAUAAGCCCUAUGUGCAAAUCAUGGGGAUAUAGCAUAAAGAAAAUACCUAUAGAAUAUACACAAAAUAGAAUGAGAAUUAAUCAAAAUGCAAGCCUACCAAAAACUAAAAUAAACACAAACGAAGGCAGUAAAGGAGGAAAUGAGGGACAAAAAAACUAUAAAGUGUACAGAAAAAAUAUAUAACAAAACAGCAUAGUAAGUCAGUGAUUACUUUAUCAGUGAUUACUUUAAAUGUAAAUGGAUUAAACGGCACAAUCUAAAAACACAGAUUGGCAGAAUGGAUUAAAAAACAGCAUCCAACUAUAUGCUGUGUCCAAGAGACCCAGUUUAGAUUUAAAUGCACACAUAGUUCAAAAGUGAAAGGUUGAAAAAGUAUUUGCUAUACAAAUAGUAAACAAAAGAGACCAGAGGUGGCUAUGGGAUAGCACACAAAAUAGACUUUAAGUCAAAACUCUCACAAAAAACACAUGAUGUUAUAUAAUAAUAAAGAGGCCAAUUUACCAACAAGAUACAAAAAAAUAAACAUAUAUACUAAAUAGCAGAACAUCUGAAUAUAUGAAACUAAGUUUGACAGAAUUGAAUAGAGAAAUUGCUCUACAAGACCAGUAGGAGACAUUAGCACUCCACUUUCAAUAAUAGAUAUAACAAACAGACAUAAGAUCAAUAAGGAAAUAAAGAGCUUGAACAACACUACAGACCAAUUAGACGUAACAGAAAUGUACAGAACACUCCACCCAGCAAAGGCAGAAAACACAUUUUUCUCAAGUGGACAUAAAACAUUCUUCAGGAUAGAUCAUAUGUUAAGGCAAAAUAUAAGUAUUAGUAAAUUUAAAAAGACAGAAAUCAUACUAAGUAUCUAUUCUUAUUAGAAUGAAAUAAAACUGGAAAACAACAGCAUAAGGAAAACUGGAAAAUCUACAAAUAUGUGUGAAUUAACACAUUCUCAAACAAUCAAUGAAUAAAAAAACAAUUUUUAUAACAAUCUUGUGACAAAUGAAAAUGAAGACACAACAUACCAAAAGUUAUAGGAUGCAAUAGAAGCAGUAUUAGGAUAGAAAUUCAUAGCACUAAACACUUACAACAAAAAAGAAAAAAAAACACUCA
rnacentral:lncRNA from 1 species